CACUGAGCCAGAGCCUGAGGGCCACAACUGCUAUGAGGGCUGGGAGGAGGACCUGCUGCCUGAGGAGAGGGAGGUUCCUCUGCUAAACCUCUACCUUACCACCAAGAGAGUGGAGGACAUCGCCCUGAGGCUCGUCUCCCUGCGUCAGGCCUU